rnacentral:rRNA from 1 species
AUAGCAAUUAUACCGCGAAACUGCGAAUGGCUCAUUAAAUCAGUUAUCGUUUAUUUGAUAGUACCUUACUACUUGGAUAACCGUGGUAAUUCUAGAGCUAAUACAUGCUAAAAAUCCCGACUUACGGAGGGAUGUAUUUAUUAGAUUAAAAACCAAUGCCCUUCGGGGCUCCUUGGUGAUUCAUAAUAACUUCUCGAAUCGCAUGGCCUUGUGCCGGCGAUGGUUCAUUCAAAUUUCUGCCCUAUCAACUUUCGAUGGCAGGGUCUUGGCCUGCCAUGGUUACAACGGGUAACGGAGGGUUAGGGCUCGACCCCGGAGAAGGAGCCUGAGAAACGGCUACUACAUCCAAGGAAGGCAGCAGGCGCGCAAAUUACCCAAUCCCGAUUCGGGGAGGUAGUGACAAUAAAUACUGAUACAGGGCUCUUUCGGGUCUUGUAAUUGGAAUGAGUACAAUUUAAAUCCCUUAACGAGGAACAAUUGGAGGGCAAGUCUGGUGCCAGCAGCCGCGGUAAUUCCAGCUCCAAUAGCGUAUAUUAAAGUUGUUGCAGUUAAAAAGCUCGUAGUUGAACCUUGGGCCUGGCUGGCCGGUCCGCCUCACCGCGUGCACUGGUUCGGCCGGGCCUUUCCCUCUGGGGAUCCUCAUGCCCUUCACUGGGUGUGGUGGGGAACCAGGACUUUUACUGUGAAAAAAUUAGAGUGUUCAAAGCAGGCCUAUGCUCGAAUACAUUAGCAUGGAAUAAUAAAAUAGGACGUGCGGUUCUAUUUUGUUGGUUUCUAGGACCGCCGUAAUGAUUAAUAGGGACAGUCGGGGGCAUCAGUAUUCAAUUGUCAGAGGUGAAAUUCUUGGAUUUAUUGAAGACUAACUACUGCGAAAGCAUUUGCCAAGGAUGUUUUCAUUAAUCAGGAACGAAAGUUAGGGGAUCGAAGACGAUCAGAUACCGUCGUAGUCUUAACCAUAAACU